GACGAACGCUGGCGGCGUGCUUAACACAUGCAAGUCGAACGAAAAGCGCUGGACGCUUGCUUCUAUCAAUCUUAGUGGCGAACGGGUGAGUAACGCGUAAUCAACCAGCCCUUCAGAGGGGGACAACAGUUGGAAACGACUGCUAAUACCGCAUACGAUCUAAUCUCGGCAUCGAGGAUAGAUGAAAGGUGGCCUCUACAUGUAAGCUAUCACUGAAGGAGGGUAUUUCGUCGGAUUAGCUAGUUGGUGGGGUAACUGCCAACCAAGGCGAUGAUCAGUAGACGGUCUGAGAGGAGGAACGGCCACAUUGGGACGGAGACACGGCCCAGCAUCCUACGGGAGGCAGCCGUGCGGAACCUUUAGCAAUGGAAGAAAGUCUGACGGAGCAACGCCGCGUGAGUGAUGACGGCCUUCGGGUUGUAUAGCUCUGUUAAUCGGGACGAAAGGAAUUCUUGCUAAUAGUGAGAAGGAUUGACGGUACCGGAAUAGAAAGCCACGGCUAACUACGUG
rnacentral:rRNA from 1 species